UAUACAUCCUCUAUAUACCUGGGUGAGGCCCAGUGACAAAAUCCCAAUAAUACCCUGCUGGGGUUACAGGUACUGCUGGUACCACGUGCUUACUAUUUAAGCCUCUUUUACGCCCUGCUGGGGUAUUUGGUACUGCUGGUACCGCUGCACGUAUUUAUUAUACACCCUGCUGGUACCAUCACAAUACAAACUGACCCCUAGCCCAACCUGUGCCAAGUAUACUAUUUGUGGUCACUAUAACAACUAUGGAUACAUCCCAGAACACUACGGAUUUCCAAACUAUGAUAAAUGAGGCUAUUGCGGCCUCGAUGGAGAAGGCACUCUCCAGGGUUAUGACGGCGUCUGCCGAGAAACACAAAAACCCCGCUAAGGUCCAGCACCAGGACUACGAUUCCGAAGCUUCGGAAUCACACACAGAAGCUGACACCUGGCCUUCUAAACGCCACUGGAAGGGCGGAAAGGGGAACGUCAACCCUGACAAAGGCAAGACCCCUGUCAAACGACGCAAGCCGGUUCCCUAUGCCCCUUCCCCAAGACGCCACUUCUCCUCGGACGAGGAGGGGAGACACCCUCCAUGGCGAUAUUGGACUCAUGGCAGGCCGUGGAUUCCGAUUCCACAGAGGAAAACGCCUGGGGCUCGGAUGACUAUUCAGUGAACGGAACUUCGAUCCAUUUACUGCGCCUGUAACUGCCAUUCUGAAUUUUCUUUCCC